GAUGAACGCUGGCGGCGUGCCUAAUACAUGCAAGUCGAGCGGACGGACGAGAAGCUUGCUUCUCUGAUGUUAGCGGCGGACGGGUGAGUAACACGUGGAUAACCUACCUAUAAGACUGGGAUAACUUCGGGAAACCGGAGCUAAUACCGGAUAAUAUUUUGAACCGCAUGGUUCAAAAGUGAAAGACGGUCUUGCUGUCACUUAUAGAUGGAUCCGCGCUGCAUUAGCUAGUUGGUAAGGUAACGGCUUACCAAGGCAACGAUGCAUAGCCGACCUGAGAGGGUGAUCGGCCACACUGGAACUGAGACACGGUCCCGACUCCUACGGGAGGCAGCAGUAGGGAAUCUUCCGCAAUGGGCGAGAGCCUGACGGAACUGCGCCGCGUGAGUGAUGGAGGUCUUCGGAUCGUAAAACUCUGUUAUUAGGGAAGAACAUAUGUGUAAGUAACUGUGCACAUCUUGACGGUAACUAAUCAGAAAGCCACGGCUAACUACGUG
rnacentral:rRNA from 1 species